rnacentral:rRNA from 1 species
GACGAACGCUGGCGGCGUGCUUAGCACAUGCAAGUCGAACGGACAGGCGCUGCUUUUGUGGGGUGCUCGAGUGGCGAACGGGUGAGUAACACGUGAGUAUCCUGCCCCUGUCUUUGUGAUAACUUCAGGGAACUGCGGCUCAUACCGGAGAGGAUCUCCUGCUGCACGGUGGUCGUUGGAGAGAGUCGGCGGUUGUGGCUGGACUCGAGGGUUAUCAGCUGGUUGGUGGAGUAGGUGUUUACCAAGGGUGUGACGGGUAGCCGGCCUGAGAGGGUGACCGGGCACAUGGGGACUGCGAGACGGCGCAGACUCCUACGGGCGGCAGCAGUGGGGAAUAUUGCACAAUGGGCGGAAGCCUGAGGCAGCAACGCCGCGUGCGGGAUGACGGCCUUCUGGUUGUAAACCGCUUUCGCCUGUGACGAAGCGUGAGUGACGGUAAUGGGUAAAGAAGCACCGGCUAACUACGUG